rnacentral:rRNA from 1 species
AACGAACGUUGGCGGCAGGCCUAACACAUGCAAGUCGAGCGAGGACUUCGGUCCUAGCGGCGGACGGGUGAGUGACGCGUGGGAACGUGCCCUUUGCUUCGGUAUAGCUCUGGGAAAGUGGGAGUAAUACCGGAUGAGCCCUUUGGGGGUAAGAUGUAUGGGCGUAGGAUCGGCGCGCGUAGGAUUAGGUGGUUGGUGGGGUAAUGGCAUACCAAGGGGACGAUCCAUAGCUGGUUUGGGAGGAUGACCCACCACACUGGGGCUGAGACACAGCCCAGACUCCGACGGGAGGGAGCAGAGGGUAAUCUUAGACGAUGGAGGCAGCCCUGAUCUAGCCAUGCCGCGUAAGCGAGGAAGGCCGUAGGGUUGUAAAGCUCUUUCAGCUGGGAAGAGAAUGACGGUACCAGCAGAAGAAGCCCCGGCUAACUCCGUG